AACACUGUUAACCUGCGGUACCUGCGGAAGGAUCAUUAUAGUAUAUGGAAUCUCCAUUCUAUAAACCCACUCUGCGUACCUUGUAACUGUUGCUUCCAUGGGACUUGGUUCCGCCACACCGGCUUCACGGCUGGUGAGCGCCCAUGGAAGGAGAAACAAAACUCUUCUUUGAAAUGUAGUCAGUCUGAACAAGUUUUUAUAAACGUUAAAACUUUUAGCAACGGAUCUCAGAUCGGAAGA
rnacentral:misc_RNA from 1 species